AGCUGCAGUAUAAAUAACUGUACAAAGGUAGCAUAAUAAUUUGUUUUUUAAUUGAAAACUAGAAUGAAUGAUUAAAUGAAAUAUAAACUAUAUCAAAUUUAAAAAAUAAAUUUAUUAUUUAAAUAAAAAAAUUUAAAUAAUUUUUAAAGACGAGAAGACCCUAAAGAAUUUUAAUAAUAAAUUAUAAUAUUAUAUAAUAAUUUAUUAUAUUAAUUGGGGAAAUUUUAAAAUUUAAAAAAUUUUUAAUUAAAUAAACAUAAAUUUUUGAAUACUUAAAAUUUUUUUAAAAAAUUAAAUAAAAUUACCUUAGGGAUAACAGCAUAAUUUUUUUAAAAAGUUCAAAUUUAUAAAAAAGUUUAUGACCUCGAUGUU
rnacentral:rRNA from 1 species